GUUUCCUUGGUGUAGUGGUUAUCACGUCCGCCUAACACGCGGGAGGAGACGAGUUCGAUCCUCGUAGGAAACA